rnacentral:rRNA from 1 species
GCGCUGUGAGAUGUUGGGUAGUCCGCACGAGCGCAACCCCUACCGCCAGUUGCCAUCAUUCAGUUGGGCACUCUGGCGGAACUGCCGGUGACAAGCCGGAGGAAGGCGGGGAUGACGUCAAGUCCUCAUGGCCCUUAUGGGUUGGGCUACACACGUGCUACAAUGGCGGUGACAGUGGGAUGCGAAGUCGCAAGAUGGAGCCAAUCCCCAAAAGCCGUCUCAGUUCGGAUUGCACUCUGCAACUCGGGUGCAUGAAGUUGGAAUCGCUAGUAAUCGCGGAUCAGCACGCCGCGGUGAAUACGUUCCCGGGCCUUGUACACACCGCCCGUCCCGCCC